rnacentral:rRNA from 1 species
GACGAACGCUGGCGGCGUGCUUAACACAUGCAAGUCGAACGAACAGCCAUGGAAGCUUGCUUCUUUCACUUUUCGUGGCGCACGGGUGAGUAACGCGUAAUCAACCUGCCUUUCACUGGGGGACAACCGUUGGAAACGACUGCUUAUACCGCAUUCGAUCUAAUCUCGGCAUCCAGGAUAGAUUAAAGGUUUCCUCUACAUGUAAGCUUUCACUGACGGUGGGUUUUUCGUCUGAUUAGCUAGCUGGAGGGGUAACCGCCCAACAAGGCGAUGAUCAGUAGCCGGGCGGGGGGGAGGAACCGCCAAAAUGGGACGGGGACAAGGCCCAGGCGGCUACGGGGAGCAGCAGGGGGGAAACUUUCGCAAUGGGGGAAAGGCUGACGGAGGAACGCCGGGGGGGGGGUGAAAGCCGUCGGGUUGGAAAGCUCGGUUAAUCGGGAAGAAAGGCCUUCUUGCGAAUAGGGAGAAGGAUUGACGGUACCGGAAUAGAAAGCCACGGCUAACUACGUG